rnacentral:rRNA from 1 species
AUUUGAUCCUGGCUCAGAUUGAACGCUGGCGGCAGGCCUAACACAUGCAAGUCGAGCGGCAGCGGGAAGUAGCUUGCUCCUUUGCCGGCGAGCGGCGGACGGGUGAGUAAUGUCUGGGAAACUGCCUGAUGGAGGGGGAUAACUACUGGAAACGGUAGCUAAUACCGCAUAACGUCGCAAGACCAAAGAGGGGGACCUUCGGGCCUCUUGCCAUCAGAUGUGCCCAGAUGGGAUUAGCUAGUAGGUGGGGUAAUGGCUCACCUAGGCGACGAUCCCU